GCCUUGUUGAAACAGUUUAGUAUCAACAGGGACAGGGAAGGGGAAAAAGGAACAAACAGAGCUGUCAUAUGUCCAGCUGUCUGGUCCCAAAUCUUCGGAACCAGGUGGACCUCAAUUGAGAGCUGUUGUUCACGGCAUUUUCCUGAGUCAGGCAGACAGGGAUGCGAGGAGGCUGGCAGCUGGAUAGCUGAUGUAAAUAGAUGGGGACUGGCCUACUGAGAGGUCAUGUGCACAGCAGGCCGCUGUGGAAUGACAAAAAUGUACCACAUACCAGGUAGGAAUGCUGAAGUGCAAAGAAAGCAGCCAAGCAGCCAAGCACACAAUAACAGUGACUCCAUCAUCUUCCUGCCUAAGGCUGACUCAUAACCAUCAUCAGAGACACAACAUAUCAACAUCUCGUGGAGCAGGAAGGUCACGGUGGCCAUGUUGGGAAGUGAACCUGGUCUGUGCUUGGAGACCAUUGAUAUUUUAUCUUCCCGAUUCUCCAAAGACAGAUAGGCUUCACUGUGCUUCCUGUUCCAGUCCUGGAAGAAUGCAUUGUCCAGUUCUCGAUGCUGCACUGUGCGCGGCAUGUGGGAUCUUAGCUCCCCGGCCAGGGAUCAAACACGUGCCCUCUGCAGUGAAGGUGAAGUCUUAACCACUGGACUGCCAGGGAAGUCCCCAUAAUAACUUAAUAGUGAGCUUCAAAAUAAUUCACUUUGGCAUUAUAAGAGCAAAGAGAAACAGAAUUUAUCAUCUUGAUAUUUUGUUCUUAGUUCUCUGUGUAACUCCUGAGUACUUCAUGUUAGCUGUCAGGUAAAAUUAAUAUAAGGCAGUAUCUGCAGAGAAUGCUAUCUCUUAAACCUCUGUACUGUUGGCAGGUGAAGCUAUAAAAAAGAAGGCUGAGAGAAGAUCUCAAGAGACUUCUUAAGAAGGAAAUAUCUCCAUACUGUUUUCCAUAGUGGUUUUACCAGUUUAUAUUCCCACCAACAGUGUAUGAGGGUUCCCUUUUCUCCACAUCCUCUCCAACCUUUGUUAUUUGUCUUUUUGAUAAUUAAAAAUAGAAUCACCAUAUGAUCCAGAUCCAGCUAUUCCACUUCUGGGUAUUUAUCCAAAGAAUAUGAAAUCACUAAUUCAAAAAGAUACGUGCACCCCUGUGUUCACUGCAGCAUUAUUUACAACAGCCAAGAUAUGGAAGCAACCUAAAUGUCCAUUGAUGAAUGGAAUACUACACAGCCACAAAAAGUAGAAAUCUUGCCAUUUGUGACGAGAUGGAUGGACCUUGAGGGUAUUACGCUAUGUGAAAUAAAUCAGAUAAAGAAAGACAAAACACCAAACGAUUUCACUUAUAUGUGGAAUCUAAAAAACAAACAAAUGAAAAAAAAACA